AUAAAGUGGAAACAAAAUGAGCAAAGUUCAUUUUGAUAAAAGUUUCUGAUGAAUGGCCACUGACCAAAUAGAUGGUGCAAUACAGAUU
rnacentral:sRNA from 1 species